GGCAGCAGUGGGGAAUAUUGCACAAUGGGCGCAAGCCUGAUGCAGCGACGCCGCGUGAGGGAUGACGGCCUUCGGGUUGUAAACCUCUUUCACCAGGGACGAAGCGUGAGUGACGGUACCUGGAGAAGAAGCACCGGCCAACUACGUGCCAGCAGCCGCGGUAAUACGUAGGGUGCGAGCGUUGUCCGGAAUUACUGGGCGUAAAGAGCUCGUAGGCGGUUUGUCGCGUCGUCUGUGAAAUUCUGCAACUCAAUUGUAGGCGUGCAGGCGAUACGGGCAGACUUGAGUACUACAGGGGAGACUGGAAUUCCUGGUGUAGCGGUGAAAUGCGCAGAUAUCAGGAGGAACACCGGUGGCGAAGGCGGGUCUCUGGGUAGUAACUGACGCUGAGGAGCGAAAGCGUGGGUAGCGAACAGGAUUAGAUACCCUGGUAGUCCACGCCGUAAACGGUGGGUACUAGGUGUGGGUUCCUUUUCACGGGAUCCGUGCCGUAGCUAACGCAUUAAGUACCCCGCCUGGGGAGUACGGCCGCAAGGCUAAAACUCAAAGGAAUUGACGGGGGCCCGCACAAGCGGCGGAGCAUGUGGAUUAAUUCGAUGCAACGCGAAGAACCUUACCUGGGUUUGACAUACACCAGACGCGGCUAGAGAUAGUCGUUCCCUUGUGGUUGGUGUACAGGUGGUGCAUGGCUGUCGUCAGCUCGUGUCGUGAGAUGUUGGGUUAAGUCCCGCAACGAGCGCAACCCUUGUCCUGUAUUGCCAGCGGGUUAUGCCGGGGACUUGCAGGAGACUGCCGGGGUCAACUCGGAGGAAGGUGGGGAUGACGUCAAGUCAUCAUGCCCCUUAUGUCCAGGGCUUCACACAUGCUACAAUGGCUGGUACAGAGGGCUGCGAUACCGUGAGGUGGAGCGAAUCCCUUAAAGCCAGUCUCAGUUCGGAUUGGGGUCUGCAACUCGACCCCAUGAAGUCGGAGUCGCUAGUAAUCGCAGAUCAGCAACGCUGCGGUGAAUACGUUCCCGGGCCUUGUACACAC
rnacentral:rRNA from 1 species